rnacentral:tRNA from 1 species
GGAGCCAUGGCUUAGUGGUAAAGCAUCUGCUUGACAUACAGAAGAUUCCAGGUACAAUCCCUGGUAAUUCCA